AGUGAACGCUGGCGGCGUGCCUAAUACAUGCAAGUCGAACGGAGUGGCGCACGGGUGAGUAAUAGAUAGCUAAUCUGCCCCUUGCUGGAGGACAACAGUUAGAAAUGACUGCUAAUACUCCAUAGCAAGGGAUGAGACUAUAUCGUAUCAGCUAGUCGGUGGGGUAACGGCCUACCGAGGCUAUGACGCGUAACUGGUCUGAGAGGAUGAUCAGUUACAUUUGAACUGAGAAAACGUCCAAACGCCUACGGGAGGGAAAAGUAGGGAAGAAUGCGGCAGGGGGGAAACCCUGACGCAGCAACGCCGCGUGGAGGAUGACACUUUUCGGAGCGUAAACUCCUUUUGUUAGGGAAGCGGUACCUAACGAAUAAGCACCGGCUAACUCCGUGCCAGCAGCCGCGGUAAUUC
rnacentral:rRNA from 1 species